UCCGGAGGGUGCAAUCGUUGUUCGGAAUCAUUGGGCGUAAAGCGCGUGUAGGCGGCUUGGCAAGUCGGGUGUGAAAUCCCGGGGCUCAACCCCGGAACUGCAUUCGAAACUGCUUCGCUAGAGUCCCGGAGAGGAAGGCGGAAUUCCCGGUGUAGAGGUGAAAUUCGUAGAUAUCGGGAGGAACACCAGCGGCGAAGGCGGCCUUCUGGACGGUGACUGACGCUGAGACGCGAAAGCGUGGGGAGCAAACAGG
rnacentral:rRNA from 1 species